AGCCUGAUCAGCCAUGCCGCGUGGGUGAAGAAGGCCUUCGGGUUGUAAAGCCCUUUUGUCCGGAAAGAAAAGUUCUGGGUUAAUAACCCAGGAUCAUGACGGUACCGGAAGAAUAAGCACCGGCUAACUUCGUGCCAGCAGCCGCGGUAAUACGAAGGGUGCAAGCGUUACUCGGAAUUACUGGGCGUAAAGCGUGCGUAGGUGGUGGUUUAAGUCAGAUGUGAAAGCCCAGGGCUCAACCAGGGAACUGCAUUUGAAACUGGAUCACUAGAGUGCGGUAGAGGAUAGUGGAAUUCCCGGUGUAGCAGUGAAAUGCGUAGAGAUCGGGAGGAACACCAGUGGCGAAGGCGACUAUCAGGACCAGCACUGACACUGAGGCACGAAAGCGUGGGGAGCAAACAGGAUUAGAUACCCUGGUAGUCCACGCCCUAAACGAUCCGAACAGGAUGUUGGGAGCAACUUGGCUCUCAGUAUCAAAGCUAACGAAAGGAGUUCGCCCCCCGCGGAGUACCGUCACAAGAAUGGAACUCCCCAGGAAUGGGCGGGCCCCCCGGAAAAGCCGGUGGAGAUA
rnacentral:rRNA from 1 species